GACGAUCGCUGGCGGCGUGCCUAAUACAUGCAAGUAGAACGCAGUUGCGAACGGGUGAGUAACGCGUAGGUAACUGCCUGGUAGCGGGGGAUAACUAUUGGAAACGAUAGCUAAUACCGCAUACUACCAGAUGGACCUGCGUUGUAGUUGUGAGUGGGUGAGGUAACGGCUCACCAAGGCAACGAUACAUAGCCGACCUUAGGAGGUUGGGGGGAAAAAUGGGACUGAGACACGGCCCAGAAGGGAGGGGGGGGGAGACGGGGGGGGGGGGGGGCAGGGGGGUGAACCCUGACCGGACAACGCCGCGUGAGUGAAGAAGGGGGUCGGAUGGGGACGCUCUGUUGUUAAGGAAGCGGUACUUAACCAGAAAGGGACGGCUAACUACGUGCCAGCCGCCGCGGUAAUUC
rnacentral:rRNA from 1 species